rnacentral:rRNA from 1 species
UACGAAGGGGGCUAGCGUUGUUCAGAAUUACUGGGCGUAAAGGGCGCGUAGGCGGUCUUUCAAGUCAGAUGUGAAAGCCCUGGGCUUAACCUAGGAUGUGCAUUUGAGACUGAAAAACUUGAGAUCGAAAGAGGAGAGUGGAAUUGCGAGUGUAGAGGUGAAAUUCGUAGAUAUUCGCAAGAACACCGGUGGCGAAGGCGACUCUCUGGUUCGAUACUGACGCUAAGGCGCGAAAGCGUGGGGAGCAAACAGG